rnacentral:misc_RNA from 1 species
UCCAAUCCCGACCGCUCAGGACGGCGGUUCCCCUAGAGUGCCCAACUCCCCGAACGGCAAGCCGUCCGGGUAAUGCGGCAACAAGGGGUGUGGGGUUUCGUCCGUUCCCGGAGUGAACCGGACAUCUCACGACACGGACUGACAACAGCCAUACAACACCUUGUCCACACGCCGGGUCAAAGGGAGUCGGCGACCGCCACCUGUUUCCAGGAGACGGGCCGAUACUCCGGGCGUGCGGACAGCCCUGGUAAGGUUCUUGGGUCAGAGUCCAAUUAAGCCACAUGUUCCGCCGCUUGUGCAGACAUCCCCAGUUCCCAUGAUUUUCAGCCUUGCGGCCGUACUCCACAGGCGGGACACUUAACGCGUAAGCUCCGCCCCGAACCGGUCGGUCCGGCUCAGG